AUAAGCUCUUAUUAAUAGCCCGUGUGGAAGCAAACCUUCUACAAUAUAUUCUUCAAAUUGACGGGAAAGCCCUAAGAGCAAUCUUAACUAACUUAAUAUAGAGAUAUAAUUAAGGGCGCAGGUAAUGACUCGCGGUAUAGUAAAAUCAAGAUUGAUUUGCGUAAGCAGAAUGGGUAAUCCGCAGCCAAGCUUCAUAAUUAAUUAAGAAGAAGGUUCAUCGACUAGUAGGGGAUAGGUAUUCUUUUUAGGUGCGCACAAUUCACUAAAAAGAUUGCUUAAUGUAUAGUCAAGCCUCAAUGGAGACAUUGCA
rnacentral:ncRNA from 1 species